AUUGAACGCUGGCGGCAUGCCUUACACAUGCAAGUCGAACGGCAGCGGACCUUCGGGUGCCGGCGAGCGGCGAACGGGUGAGUAAUAUAUCGGAACGUACCUUUCAGUGGGGGAUAACGUAGCGAAAGUUACGCUAAUACCGCAUAUUCUGUGAGCAGGAAAGCAGGGGGAUCGCAAGACCUUGCGCUGAUUGAGCGGCCGAUAUCAGAUUAGCUAGUUGGUGAGGUAAAGGCUCACCAAGGCGACGAUCUGUAGCGGGUCUGAGAGGAUGAUCCGCCACACUGGAACUGAGACACGGUCCAGACUCCUACGGGAGGCAGCAGUGGGGAAUUUUGGACAAUGGGCGCAAGCCUGAUCCAGCCAUGCCGCGUGAGUGAAGAAGGCCU
rnacentral:rRNA from 1 species